AUUGAACGCUGGCGGCAUGCUUUACACACGCAAGUCGAACGGUAACAGGCCGCAGGGUGCUGACGAGUGGCGAACGGGUGAGUAAUGCAUCGGAACGUGCCCAGUCGUGGGGGAUAACGCAGCGAAAGCUGCGCUAAUACCGCAUACGAUCUAUGGAUGAAAGCGGGGGACCGUAAGGCCUCGCGCGAUUGGAGCGGCCGAUGUCAGAUUAGGUAGUUGGUGGGGUAAAGGCUCACCAAGCCAACGAUCUGUAGCUGGUCUGAGAGGACGACCAGCCACACUGGGACUGAGACACGGCCCAGACUCCUACGGGAGGCAGCAGUGGGGAAUUUUGGACAAUGGGCGCAAGCCUGAUCCAGCAAUGCCGCGUGCAGGAAGAAGGCCUUCGGGUUGUAAACUGCUUUUGUACGGAACGAAAAGGCUCUGGUUAAUACCUGGGGCUCAUGACGGUACCGUAAGAAUAAGCACCGGCUAACUACGUGCCAGCCGCCGCCGUAAGAC
rnacentral:rRNA from 1 species